UGCAAGUCGAGCGAACAGAUGAAGUGCUUGCACUUCUGACGUUAGCGGCGAACGGGUGAGUAACACGUAAGGAAUCUACCUAUAAGCGGGGGAUAACAUUCGGAAACGGGUGCUAAUACCGCAUAAUAUCUUCUUCCGCAUGGAAGAAGAUUGAAAGACGGCUCUGCUGUCACUUAUAGAUGACCUUGCGGUGCAUUAGUUAGUUGGUGGGGUAACGGCCUACCAAGACGAUGAUGCAUAGCCGACCUGAGAGGGUGAUCGGCCACAUUGGGACUGAGACACGGCCCAAACUCCUACGGGAGGCAGCAGUAGGGAAUCUUCCGCAAUGGGCGAAAGCCUGACGGAGCAAUGCCGCGUGAGUGAAGAAGGCCUUCGGGUCGUAAAACUCUGUUAUAAGAGAAGAACAAAUUGUAGAGUAACUGCUACAGUCUUGACGGUAUCUUAUCAGAAAGCCACGGCUAACUACGUGCCAGCAGCCGCGGUAAUACGUAGGUGGCAAGCGUUGUCCGGAUUUAUUGGGCGUAAAGGGAGCGCAGGUGGUUUCUUAAGUCUGAUGUGAAAGCCCACGGCUUAACCGUGGAGGGUCAUUGGAAACUGGGAAACUUGAGUACAGAAGAGGAAUGUGGAACUCCAUGUGUAGCGGUGGAAUGCGUAGAUAUAUGGAAGAACACCAGUGGCGAAGGCGACAUUCUGGUCUGUUACUGACACUGAGGCUCGAAAGCGUGGGGAGCAAACAGGAUUAGAUACCCUGGUAGUCCACGCCGUAAACGAUGAGUGCUAGGUGUUGGAGGG
rnacentral:rRNA from 1 species